AUGUUCAUAAAAUUGCAAAAUAAAGUUUUGUUGUGCAAUAAAAUUUCUAUAUUUACAAAACUUUUUUUCCACAGGUGUCUCUUCUGCAGCAUGGCCGUCUGUCUGGAAAAUCAGGGCAGGGAAUUUGCGAGGGCAGUUAGUCCUUCACUUAAGAAGGGAAUUAGCGCUCUCAAUGCCUUAACCAUCAGCCUCCUAAAUGUGGAUAGAGCCUUUGUGGCUAAAAGUGACUCAUCAUUCAGUGAAAUUCGGAGGGCUGUUAUAAGCGUGCAGCAGAACCUGGGGGAGGCUGAAAAAGCUGCCCUCAGUAAACUCAAGGCGGUAGAUAAAUGCUACGAGGAGCUGAUAGUUAGAAAGCAGAAUCUAUCUAUUCAGCAAGAUUACACAAAAGAUGCAUUGCGUGAUUUAAAACAACAGCAAAAAAACAACAACGCCACCUUAGAGAUGUACAAAAAAUCAGCAUGUGAUGCUGUGUCUCAGUUGGAAGAAGCUAAGGCCUAUCUUUGGCAUCAGCAGAGGGCUGUAGAAGAGGCAGAAGAACUGAGGGAUGCAGGAAUUGGGAUAACAUUCAUUCCUAUUUUAGGAUGGAUUGCAGGUCCAAUAAUGAUAGCAGCAGCUGAAAAUGACAUCGAAAAUGCGAAUUACAGAGUUCAGGAGGCGGAGCGCAUGGUCAAUUCUUUCCGAUCCUCGGUCCACGAAUACGAACGCAAAGUGUCCGAAUACACAAGCAGAAUCCAGGAGGCUUGCAAAGAGAUUGUGAAGAGACAAGACUCGCUGAGGGAGAUCGAACGGGACAUUCAACAGGUUCUCAGACAGAGAAGAGAGAUGGCUGGUUUCCAGGAGAACAUGAGGAACUCGGUCAGAGUUCUUAGCGUACUCGCCGGUACAUCAAACGUGGCAGAGAUUCAAACGCGCUGCUUUGUGUUAAUAGAGGCGAUGAUAAAGUUGAUGCAGACCUUUGGUAAAUUGGUGGAAGCCACUGGAGAAAAUCGGCUUAUCUGUGAUGAUGGCAUUAAGGCUCUUAUCACAAAGCUGCAGGUCAAUUAUGUCAAAAUGCAGGCCAUCAUUGUGCCCUCUGAUACCGCCGCCAUAGAUUUCAUAUGAAUUGCUUUUGUUUUUGCUGAUUCUGUUGAUUCUGCUGAUUCUGCUUCAUUUUAAAGAGUACUAUCUUCAAAUAAUCACUGAAUGUCUAAACAACUAUUUUAUGUGAUGUUUGGUUCUUUUUCUUUCUUUUAUUUCUGCAAAACUGCUUUGUG
rnacentral:lncRNA from 1 species